AGAGAAGAGGGAGGUGGAGGUUCCUACAGUGUUUUUGCCCCCGCCCCCCUAUUUUCUUUUUGCCCUUGUCAUAAAACCAGCCCGUUUAAUUUGGGGUUGGGUUGGCUUGGGCUCUUAUCGAUUGACCAUAUUAGCCUUCCAUAAUGCCCCCUAUAGGGUGGGGCGAUAGAUCGGCAUUCCCGAGUACCUCGCCAGAGUCGUGAGCCCCAUUUUGCCCGUCCUCAGGUCUUUUUCCUUGGCUGCUGCCGCUGCUGCUCUGUUUUCACUCUCUCCAUGGCGAUUCCCGGCCCUUACUCCGGCGUCAGCACCCUUGCUUUCGUGGCUCGUGCCUCGGCCUUUACCUUUGGCGUUGUCUAUGGGAGUAUGAAGCUCUCCUAUCUCAAGGCGAAAGCAAAGUCUCAGAAAAAGGUGGAGGCUAAGGGUCAUCACUGAAUGAAGGAUGUGGCCUGUCGGUGAUCCCUGAUACAAAGCAGUGACAGAAUUUGUUAUCACCACCUUGUUUUUGUUUGCAGUAUACUGCACUGCAUGCGGGUUCAUGCUUUGUUUAAGAUUUGCUCAGCAACUCCCAUAUCGAACCAAGUGGAGGAUGUUUGACAUGUUACCUCCUAUCCUGAAAUAAUGGUCAAUCGUGAUGACAGAAGUUGAGAGUGGAUUUUGGACCCAUUUCACUUUAAAUCAGUGCAUUUAGUUUUUCUGUAA